CAGUCGCCGCGGUAAUACGAAGGGUGCAAGCGUUAAUCGGAAUUACUGGGCGUAAAGCGUGCGUAGGCGGUUUGUUAAGUCUGCUGUGAAAUCCCCGGGCUCAACCUGGGAAUGGCAGUGGAUACUGGCAAGCUAGAGUGUGUCAGAGGAUGGUGGAAUUCCCGGUGUAGCGGUGAAAUGCGUAGAGAUCGGAAGGAACAUCAGUGGCGAAGGCGGCCAUCCGGGACAACACUGACGCUGAGGCACGAAAGCGUGAGGAGCAAACAGGAUUAGAUACCCCCGUAGUCCCUGUCUCUUAUAC
rnacentral:rRNA from 1 species